rnacentral:lncRNA from 1 species
GUAAAAUAGCUAGGUGGGACAACCACAUAUCACAGUCAUAUAUCUGACCAAAUUUGAACAAAAUCCAAGGAUCCAGUUGACCUUGACUGGAAGCUCAGGGGCUGAAAUUUGUGAAGAAGCACCAGAAGCUGCUCAACAUCCAGAUCCCAGAAAUGUCUAUAGUCAUGAUCCUCUGCAGCAUCCCGGGGGUUGUCAUCAGCUGCAUGCAGAUGUUUCUUCUUCUUUUUUUUCAUCUUCUUCUUCUACUUUUCUGUCUAUUUGCAUGGAUGUUGUAUUGUUUCCUAUGCAGACUUUCAACAGGUUCUGUGGUGGCACAGGACUAAAUCUUGAGCCGUUGUCAGAGGAAGAAAUUGGGAAGACCUCUGCAGACAUUAAUUCCACAGGAAAAAGG